UACGGAGGGUGCAAGCGUUAAUCGGAAUUACUGGGCGUAAAGCGUGCGCAGGCGGUUUUGCAAGCCGGAUGUGAAAUCCCCGGGCUUAACCUGGGAAUGGCAUUUGGGACUGCAAGGCUGGAGUGCGGCAGAGGAGACUGGAAUUCCUGGUGUAGCAGUGAAAUGCGUAGAUAUCAGGAGGAACACCGAUGGCGAAGGCAGGUCUCUGGGCUGACACUGACGCUCAUGCACGAAAGCGUGGGGAGCAAACAGG
rnacentral:rRNA from 1 species